UACGGGGGAUGCAAGCGUUAUCCGGAAUCAUUGGGCGUAAAGCGUCUGUAGGUUGCUUAAUAAGUCUGUUGUUAAAGGUUAGGGCUCAACCCUAAAAAAGCAAUGGAAACUGUUAAGCUUGAGUAUGGCAGGGGUAGAGGGAAUUUCUAGUGUAGCGGUGAAAUGCGUAGAUAUUAGAAAGAACACCGGUGGCGAAGGCGCUCUACUGGACCAUUACUGACACUCAGAGACGAAAGCUAGGGGAGCAAAAGGG
rnacentral:rRNA from 1 species